rnacentral:rRNA from 1 species
GAGUUUGAUCAUGGCUCAGAACGAACGCUGGCGGCAUGCCUAACACAUGCAAGUCGAACGAGACCUUCGGGUCUAGUGGCGCACGGGUGCGUAACGCGUGGGAAUCUGCCCUUGGGUUCGGAAUAACAGUUAGAAAUGACUGCUAAUACCGAAUGAUGUCUUCGGACCAAAGAUUUAUCGCCCAGGGAUGAGCCCGCGUCGGAUUAGCUAGUUGGUGAGGUAAAAGCUCACCAAGGCGACGAUCCGUAGCUGGUCUGAGAGGAUGAUCAGCCACACUGGGACUGAGACACGGCCCAGACUCCUACGGGAGGCAGCAGUGGGGAAUAUUGGACAAUGGGCGAAAGCCUGAUCCAGCAAUGCCGCGUGAGUGAUGAAGGCCUUAGGGUUGUAAAGCUCUUUUACCCGGGAUGAUAAUGACAGUACCGGGAGAAUAGGCCCCGGCUAACUCCGUGCC